UCCUGGUGAGCUCAGUUGGUAGAGCGCUCCACUGGAAAUGGCGUGUUUCCUGGUUCGAUACUAGGACAAGGCG
rnacentral:tRNA from 2 species